UACGUAGGGGGCUAGCGUUGUCCGGAAUCAUUGGGCGUAAAGAGCGUGUAGGCGGCCCGGUAAGUCCGCUGUGAAAGUCGGGGGCUCAACCCUCGAAUGCCGGUGGAUACUGUCGGGCUAGAGUGCGGAAGAGGCGAGUGGAAUUCCUGGUGUAGCGGUGAAAUGCGCAGAUAUCAGGAGGAACACCGAUGGCGAAGGCAGGUCUCUGGGCCGCAACUGACGCUGAGGAGCGAAAGCAUGGGGAGCGAACAGG
rnacentral:rRNA from 1 species